ensembl:lncRNA
UGGGGAGACUAUAAAUUACAACUGUGAAUUACCAAAAUUAAGUAUUUUUUCCCAAGAAAUCAUUUUGAUACUUCCAGGACAUCAUGGACCACUUCUUUCAUGAAAGGUUUAUUACAAAAACGCAAGACAAAACAUGUCAACUGUUUUUCUAAAGGCAAACACAAUACAAAAAACAUACACCUCUCUAUAGGAUGUAGGUCCGCUGCAUCAAAAAAUUAAAUAAUGACAGCGAAAAAUAAAACAUUAUUAGUUUCACAAUCCAAAAGGCUGAGAUUGCUGAUAAACAGGAGAGAGGAGAAUAUUGUUUGCCACUGGACAAAAAGGCCAGAACCACAACAGAAAACCAAACCAAAUAAAACUGAACUCAACUAAGCCUGUAGGGCCCUGAGAGGAACCAGGGGGAUCUAGCUCUUCAAACAAAAUCAACUAAAUAAACAUCAACUGACAUAAAUACAGGGAAAGUACCAAGCUUUUUUUCCAUUUUCAAUUAACAUGGUGGGUGUAAUAGUCUGGGCCGGUGCUUGAUGCAUACCACUAAACCGUUUCCCAAGGUGUCCUAUUCAAACACUGAAAGAAAUAAAGAGAAUUCACGGCUAACUUCCAAUUCAAAACAAUAAAAGUUAUUCACGAGAACGGUCAAGUGUGGAUCAUUGUUCAGAGUACCCAGGUUGCUUAAAGCAAAUAUAAACAUCAAACAGGACACUAACUUUCAAUAGAUAAUUGGACAAUUUAACUGAAAAAUAAAAUCCAUCUGGCUAUGCAUGUAUACAAGCGUUUUUUUUUUUUUUAAAGCUUUGGUGAUAUACAGUAAUUAGUUGACAGCUUGUGAUAAUAUAUCUGUGAAUGGUAAUGGUCUUGUGAAAAGUUCAUCCGAAGAAGUGGAACUUUGGGGGGGAAACAAAGAUAGCUUUGCCACUAAAAGGUGUUUUUAUAUUUGUCAUUGCUGUGAAUUGCCUUCCCUACUAUGUAAAUUGCACCUUUGUUCCCAAUUCAUAAAUAAGAAGUGCAGUUUCCCUACAACCUCAAUACACACGUGUACAAAAUAUGAAAUCCUAAAUCCAAGGAAUAUUUGAGAGUAUUUGUCAAAAUACACUGCACAUAUUAAAUAUUUCAAUUACUCUCACUUCCACAAAUGCAAUGUUUUUACAUACUCACAGUAG